GAUGAAGAACGCAGCGAAAUGCGAUAAGUAGUGUGAAUUGCAGAAUUCAGUGAAUCAUCGAAUCUUUGAACGCACAUUGCGCCCCUUGGUAUUCCAUGGGGCAUGCCUGUUCGAGCGUCAUUUGUACCUUCAAGCUCUGCUUGGUGUUGGGUGUUUGUCUCGCCUCUGCGUGUAGACUCGCCUCAAAACAAUUGGCAGCCGGCGUAUUGAUUUCGGAGCGCAGUACAUCUCGCGCUUUGCACUCAUAACGACGACGUCCAAAAGUACAUUUUUACACUCUUGACCUCGGAUCAGGUAGGGAUACCCGCUGAACUUAAGCAUAUAAAUAAGCGGAGGA
rnacentral:misc_RNA from 1 species